AUAACCUCACUCGAGUCCAAAACGGGAAAAAAAAAGGGAAGGAAAAUGAAAACUCCAUAUCAAUUCCCUCCUCUUGUGAGAGAUAAAAGAAGCAAAAAUAUAUCCGCAUAUUUCAUUCUUUUUUGUUUUCUUCUCCUCGUUAUACCACUCUUCGCCACAAAGAAAUGAACGUUUCUUCUCUAUCUCUUCUUCCUUGCUGUACUUCACCUAGGGUUUACUUCUCCUUUUCUUCCUCCGUCUCUCGCUCUCUCCUCUCCCUCAGAUCUUCCUCUGCUUCUCGUAGGUCCUCCUCAGUUCCCUUCUUGCUUCUCCACCACCGCCACUACUCUUUCAAGGUUCACGCAAUGGCGGAGCUCGUGCAAGAUAAGGAGGUUUCAGCCGCUGCGGCUGUCGCGGGGUCCGGCGAAGGAAGAGGCAGUUACUCGCGGACGUUCCUCGAUGCGACCACCGAAGAAGAGCUUUUGUCAGGAAUCAAGAAUGAAAUGGAAGCAGGAAGGCUGCCUUCAAAUAUUGCUGCAGGAAUGGAAGAAUUGUUUCACAAUUAUAGAAAUGCUGUUUUGCAAAGUGGUGAUCCUCUGGCAAAUGAAAUUGCGGUGUCAAACAUGGCAGUUGCACUGGAUCGUAUAUUCUUGGAUGUGGAGGAUCCUUUUGUCUUUUCCCCAUAUCACAAAGCAAUACGAGAGCCAUUUGACUACUAUAUGUUUGGUCAAAACUACAUCCGUCCGCUGAUUGAAUUUGGAAAUUCAUACGUUGGAAAUAUUUCCCUUUUCAAGGAAGUAGAACAGAAGCUUCAGGAGGGUCAUAAUGUUGUAUUGAUGUCCAACCACCAAAGUGAAGCGGACCCUGCUGUUAUUUCAUUGUUGCUUGAGAAGACAAAUCCAAAAAUUUCUGAAAACCUGAUCUACGUAGCAGGGGAUAGGGUUUUAACAGAUCCUCUUUGCAAGCCCUUUAGCAUGGGAAGAAAUCUUAUAUGUGUGUACUCAAAGAAGCACAUGUACGAUGUUCCUGAGCUAGCUGAGACAAAAAAGAAAUCAAAUAUGCGAAGUUUGAAGGAGAUGGCUUUGCUUCUCAGAGCUGGGUCACAAAUAAUUUGGAUUGCACCAAGUGGUGGUAGGGACCGGCCUGAUCCUUUUACUGGAGAAUGGUGCCCAGCACCGUUUGACGUUGCUUCAGUGGACAAUAUGAGAAGGCUUGUUGAGCAUUCUGGUGUUCCUGGGCAUAUCUAUCCCUUGGCGUUAUUGUGUUACAACAUUAUGCCCCCACCACCACAGGUAGAAAAAGAAAUUGGAGAGAAACGUGUGAUCUCCUUCAGUGGAGUUGGAAUAUCAGUGGCAAAAGAGAUCUGCUUCCCUGACACUGCUGCUUCUGAUGUACAUUCUGAUGAGGCAGCAAAGGCAUAUUCAAAGGCGCUGUAUGAUGCUGUGAGUGAGCAAUACAGUGUGCUUAAAUAUGCCAUACAUGGAAAACAAGGACUCCGCGCAUCAACUCCAACGCUCUCUUUAUCACAGCCAUGGGUUUAGUCAAUUUGUGUACCCUUUUUAUAUCCGGUUUCUCUGGCGACUAGGUACUCACUUAAGUUCCAUAUCUUCUUAGAAACAACAGGCCAGUGUCAUUUUUCUGCACGGUGUGGCAACUUCUUGUCUGAAAAUCGCGAAUCUUUCAAUACCAUUUGCUGUACUAGAGGAAGACGAACGUCUUCCUCCAUGUCUACUGCACAACUUUCAAGAAAAGGAUCUGGUUCUUUCCUGUGCACAUAUUACAAGAGAGCCAAUUCCAUCGAAGUGGAGUCAAAUGUUCAUUUUCACAUAUGUACCUUGCAGAUGGCACAUUGUAGUAAAGCCCCAAGGUAAUGUAGGCACUUUACAGGUAUAUACACCAAAUGUCCUCUCCUGGAUCUUGUCUUCAAGCAAAUUGCUUAUUCGAUAUUAUUUCCUUCACCGAGGUUUCUCAAUAAUUUGAGCUUGAAGAUACUAGAACAACAGCACAGAAGCAAGCCUACUAACCGUCGGCAAAUUUUAUAUUUAACACAGAAUUUCAAUGA